rnacentral:lncRNA from 1 species
AUGCUUCUUAUCUAACUGAAGCCAGCAUGUAUCUGCUAACGGCAAUAACUCGCGCAAUUGUUCUGUGAUAUCUGGUGUACCACAAGGUUCCGUCCUUGGACCCUUAUUCUUUCUAAUUUACAUUAACG